CAGGCUCCGAGCCCCGCCGGUCCCCUUGGAGCGGGCGGUGCUGCGGGGCGGGGCGGGCCGGGGCUGCCGGGGAUGCUCCGGUGCGGGGCGGGUCGGGUCCUCGCCGGGCUCCUCCCGCUGCCCUGGCUCCUCGGCCACGUCUGAAAGCGGCUCAUUGUGUCCGCAGCCAGCUCGGGUCCGCCGAGGGAAGCAGUUGCUGUGCUGGGGCACAGGGUGCACCUCAGCCCGUUCGCCCUCGGAGAGUGUGGGGUCCAACGUGAACAGCAUUGUCACUGUCACCCCCUUUGGCCGUCAUUAAAACCCUCUUGUA
rnacentral:lncRNA from 1 species